rnacentral:rRNA from 1 species
UACGUAGGGCGCAAGCGUUGUCCGGAAUUAUUGGGCGUAAAGGGCUCGUAGGCGGUCUGUCACGUCAGGAGUGAAAACUCGGGGCUCAACCCCGAGCCUGCUUCUGAUACGGGCAGACUAGAGGUAUGCAGGGGAGAACGGAAUUCCUGGUGUAGCGGUGAAAUGCGCAGAUAUCAGGAGGAACACCGGUGGCGAAGGCGGUUCUCUGGGCAUUACCUGACGCUGAGGAGCGAAAGUGUGGGGAGCGAACAGG